rnacentral:rRNA from 1 species
CCUACGGGCGGCAGCAGUGGGGAAUCUUGCGCAAUGGGCGAAAGCCUGACGCAGCGACGCCGCGUGAUGGAUGAAGGUCUUCGGAUCGUAAACCUCUGUCAGCAGGGAAGAACGGUCACUGUGCUAAUCAUCAAUGAAUUGACGGUACCUGCAAAGGAAGCACCGGCUAACUCCGUGCCAGCAGCCGCGGUAAUACGGAGGGUGCGAGCGUUAAUCGGAAUUACUGGGCGGAAAGCGAUCGUAGGCGGUAUGUCAAGUCUAGGGUGAAAUCCUCGGGCUCAACGUGGGAAGUGCAUUUGAAACUGGGAGACUGGAGUGUGGGAGAGGAGAGUGGAAGUCCAGGUGUAGGGGUGAAAUGCGUAGAUAUCUGGAGGAACAUCAGUGGCGAAGGCGACUAUCUGGCACAUAACUGACGCUGAGGAGCGAAAGCGUGGGUAGCAAACAGGAUUAGAUACCCUAGUAGUC